rnacentral:rRNA from 1 species
GACGAACGCUGGCGGCGUGCCUAAUACAUGCAAGUAGAACGCUGAAGGAGGAGCUUGCUUCUCUGGAUGAGUUGCGAACGGGUGAGUAACGCGUAGGUAACCUGCCUGGUAGCGGGGGAUAACUAUUGGAAACGAUAGCUAAUACCGCAUAAGAGUAGAUGUCGCAUGACAUUUGCUUAAAAGGUGCAAUUGCAUCACUACCAGAUGGACCUGCGUUGUAUUAGCUAGUUGGUGAGGUAACGGCUCACCAAGGCAACGAUACAUAGCCGACCUGAGAGGGUGAUCGGCCACACUGGGACUGAGACACGGCCCAGACUCCUACGGGAGGCAGCAGUAGGGAAUCUUCGGCAAUGGACGGAAGUCUGACCGAGCAACGCCGCGUGAGUGAAGAAGGUUUUCGGAUCGUAAAGCUCUGUGUAAGAGAAGAACGAGUGUGAGAGUGGAAAAG